rnacentral:miRNA from 1 species
UCGAUGCAUGGUCCCCCCUUAGU